rnacentral:rRNA from 1 species
AUUCCAGCUCCAAUAGCGUAUAUUAAAGUUGUUGCAGUUAAAAAGCUCGUAGCUGGACUUGUGCGUGCCCCCGAUGUCCUUUUUGGUACGUUCGGGGGUGUGCAUCCUUGGGUGGAACCUGCGUGGCAUUAGGUUGUCGGGCAGGGGAUGCUCAUCGUUUACUGUGAAAAAAUUAGAGUGUUCAAAGCAGGCUUACGCCGUUGAAUAUAUUAGCAUGGAAUAAUAAGAUAGGACCUUGGUACUAUUUUGUUGGUUUGCGCACCGAGGUAAUGAUUAACAGGGACAGUUGGGGGUAUUCGUAUUCCAUUGUCAGAGGUGAAAUUCUUGGAUUUUUGGAAGACGAACUACUGCGAAAGCAUUUACCAAGGAUGUUUUCAUUA